UUGAACGCUGGCGGCAUGCUUUACACAUGCAAGUCGAACGGCAGCACGGGGGCAACCCUGGUGGCGAGUGGCGAACGGGUGAGUAAUGUAUCGGAACGUACCCAGUCGUGGGGGAUAACUAUCCGAAAGGAUAGCUAAUACCGCAUACGUCCUGAGGGAGAAAGCGGGGGAUCACAAGACCUCGCGCGAUUGGAGCGGCCGAUAUCGGAUUAGCUAGUUGGUGAGGUAAAGGCUCACCAAGGCGACGAUCCGUAGCGGGUCUGAGAGGACGACCCGCCACACUGGAACUGAGACACGGUCCAGACUCCUACGGGAGGCAGCAGUGGGGAAUUUUGGACAAUGGGCGAAACCCUGAUCCAGCCAUUCCGCGUGAGUGAAGAAGGCCUUCGGGUUGUAAAGCUCUUUCGGACGGAAAGAAACGGUCACGGCCAAUACCGGUGGCUAAUGACGGUACCGUCAGAAGAAGCACCGGCUAACUACGU
rnacentral:rRNA from 1 species